rnacentral:rRNA from 1 species
UACGAAGGGGGCUAGCGUUGCUCGGAUUCAUUGGGCGUAAAGGGUGCGUAGGCGGUCGCGUAAGUCGGAUGUGAAAUCCCAGGGCUCAACCCUGGAACUGCAUUCGAUACUGCGUGGCUCGGGUACUGGAGAGGAGACUGGAAUUUACGGUGUAGCAGUGAAAUGCGUAGAUAUCGUAAGGAAGACCAGUGGCGAAGGCGAGUCUCUGGACAGUUACCGACGCUGAGGCACGAAGGCCAGGGGAGCAAACGGG